AAUUUCAAGCAUCAUAAAAAAUUCCCAAUUCUCAUCUUGCCCCUCUCACUUAAACAAAUUGUGCAGCCUUGAUCUACUGCAUGAAAAUGAAUGAUCAGAUGUAUUUUCAAAACCCCUGCCCUUAAAAAAAUCAAGCUUUCUUCUUUUUCUUUGACCGAGGAAGGAAAAUUUAUAGAAGCAAGGGAGAGAGCCAUCAAGGAGAGAGAAAGAGAGGAAAGAGAGAGAAAAAUGCCUAACCACCAAGGGUGAUCGAGCAAAUCGUGGCCCCUAGUGGUUGACUAACAUAGCAAAACUAGAAACAACUUGAUUUCUGUUGGUUUCUGACUGGGUCGCACAUGAAUCAACUUUGAAAUCAGGUGAGAGUCUUCACUUGAAAACUAAAAUUUAUCCCUCAUUUUAAUUUCUCUAACUAUCUAAGACCUCUAGGCAUGUCCAAGUUUUGAAAAUCAUCAACGAACAAGCCAAAAUUUCAAGCAACCCAUUAACCCGGUUCUGCUGGUAUCAUGACCAGACUCCCUAAUUCCCUUUCAGUUUUCUUUCAAUUUCCUUUUGAUUUUAAGCUAAAAUAUGAACUAGAAUGUAGUCUAAAUAUCAUAAAACACGAUAGUUUUCAACUGAAGAUUCACCGAAAAUCAACCAAUUUAAUUUGUUAAAAACCCCCAAAAGUCUUGGGGUUGUCACUAACCAAGAGACUUUGAUAAAUCUGACAGGUUCUAAAGCAUUUUUGGAGGCAAGUUUGAAGCCCAAAAUCGAUCUUUCUUGCAUAGGAGUUUGUAUGUAUAUGUAAUAGUAAUAUUUAAAGUCCCAUUUAUAUGUUUUAAAAUAAAAAAAUUGACGUCGUUUGAAUCGUCUUUAAACUGGUUAAACAUGUUUAAAAAAUGGAAUUUUAAACCUCUUCAGUGGGUAAAACCACAGGGAAAGUUUUGUAAACCAUCACGACAACAUUUUUUUGAUUUUCAUUCAUUUGCAUGUUGCUUGAUUUAAGUUCAUGCGUGUGUAUUUCCUAUUU
rnacentral:lncRNA from 1 species